UACGUAGGGACCGAGCGUUGUCCGGAAUCAUUGGGCGUAAAGAGCGUGUAGGCGGCCUGUUAAGUCUUGCGUGAAAUCUCGGGGCUCAACCCCGGACUUGCAGUGGGUACGGGCAGGCUAGAGUGUGGUAGGGGAGACUGGAAUUCCUGGUGUAGCGGUGGAAUGCGCAGAUAUCAGGAGGAACACCGAUGGCGAAGGCAGGUCUCUGGGCCACUACUGACGCUGAGAAGCGAAAGCAUGGGGAGCAAACAGG
rnacentral:rRNA from 1 species